UGGGGAGGGGAUAGCUCCAAGUUCAGCCCCAAAAGCCUUCAGCCAAAGCUCCGAGAAUCCUUCGGUUUCCUCUUCUUCCUUGUAUUCGAUUUUCUUCAAAGAGGGGAAACUCGUCGCCCAUGUCAAGGUUGAGGUUCUCGAAGCGGUUAUGGAAACUGGUGGAGCGGAGUUCGAGGAAUCACGAGCUUUUAUAUCGACCGACUAUUUUCAAAGAUUAUAUUAGUCACUUUCUUUUAAGUGUUUUAACUUGAGAAGUUUAUAGUUGUAAUUAUAAUUUACUCUAUUUAGGAAUCUAGUCUAUUAAACCGGGGUGUAUGUAAAAUAAAGUUAUUUUGUGUUCCGCUGUAUUACAAGUAUUGCUUUAAAACCCCGUCUAUGUUGAAGUAGCACUCUUUAUGAAAA